rnacentral:rRNA from 1 species
UACGAAGGGGGCUGGCGUUGCUCGGAAUCACUGGGCGUAAAGCGCACGUAGGCGGGUCUUUAAGUCGGGGGUGAAAUCCUGGAGCUCAACUCCAGAACUGCCUUCGAUACUGAGGAUCUCGAGUCCGGGAGAGGUGAGUGGAACUCCGAGUGUAGAGGUGAAAUUCGUAGAUAUUCGGAAGAACACCAGUGGCGAAGGCGGCUCACUGGCCCGGUACUGACGCUGAGGUGCGAAAGCGUGGGGAGCAAACAGG